rnacentral:rRNA from 1 species
GACGAACGCUGGCGGCGUGCUUAACACAUGCAAGUCGAACGGAAAGGCCCUGCUUUUGUGGGGUGCUCGAGUGGCGAACGGGUGAGUAACACGUGAGUAACCUGCCCUUGACUUUGGGAUAACUUCAGGAAACUGGGGCUAAUACCGGAUAGGAGCUCCUGCUGCAUGGUGGGGGUUGGAAAGUUUCGGCGGUUGGGGAUGGACUCGCGGCUUAUCAGCUUGUUUGUGGGGUAGUGGCUUACCAAGGCUUUGACGGGUAGCCGGCCUGAGAGGGUGACCGGCCACAUUGGGAAUGAGAUACGGCCCAGACUCCUACGGGAGGCAGGAGUGGGGAAUAUUGCACAAUGGGCGGAAGCCUGAUGCAGCAACGCCGCGUGCGGGAUGACGGCCUUCGGGUUGUAAACCGCUUUCGCCUGUGACGAAGCGUGAGUGACGGUAAUGGGUAAAGAAGCACCGGCUAACUACGUG